rnacentral:rRNA from 1 species
AUUGAACGCUGGCGGCAUGCCUUACACAUGCAAGUCGAACGGCAGCACGGGUGCUUGCACCUGGUGGCGAGUGGCGAACGGGUGAGUAAUAUAUCGGAACGUACCCUAUUGUGGGGGAUAACGCAGCGAAAGCUGUGCUAAUACCGCAUAAUCCCUAAGGGGGAAAGCGGGGGACCGUAAGGCCUCGCGCAGUUAGAGCGGCCGAUACCUGAUUAGCUAGUUGGUGAGGUAAAGGCUCACCAAGGCAACGAUCAGUAGCUGGUCUGAGAGGACGAUCAGCCACACUGGGACUGAGACACGGCCCAGACUCCUACGGGAGGCAGCAGUGGGGAAUUUUGGACAAUGGGGGCAACCCUGAUCCAGCAAUGCCGCGUGAGUGAAGAAGGCCUUCGGGUUGUAAAGCUCUUUUGUCAGGGAAGAAACAGCAGCUCUAACACAGUUUGCGAAUGACGGUACCUGAAGAAUAAGCACCGGCUAACUACGUGCCAGCAGCCGCGGUAA